rnacentral:rRNA from 1 species
GUUGAACGCUGACAGAAUGCUUAACACAUGCAAGUCGACUGUGGCGGACGGGCGAGUAACGCGUAAAGAACUUGCCUCACAGUUAGGGACAACAUUUGGAAACGAAUGCUAAUACCUGAUACUGUGAGAGAGCUUGGCGUCCCAUUAGCUAGUUGGAGAGGUAACGGUUCACCAAGGAGAUGAUGGGUAGCCGGCCUGGGAGGGGGAUCGGUCACAGGGGGACUGGGACGCGGCCCGUACGCAUACGGGCGGCAGGAGUGGGAGAUAUAGGACAAUGGACCACAGUCUGAUCAAGCAAUUCUGGUUGCACGAUGAAGUUUUCGGAAGGUAAAGUGCUUUCAGUUGAGAAGCGGUACCAACAGAAGAAGUGACGGCUAAAUACGUGCCAGCAGCCGCGGUAAUUC